rnacentral:rRNA from 1 species
AUGUUAGGCCAUGUGGUCGAUGCCUUGGGAGUACCUAUUGAUGAAAAAGGGGCUCUAAGAGAUCACAAACAAAGACGUGUCAAAGUGAAAGCCCCAGGGAUUAUUGAACAUAAAUCUGUGCACAAACCCAUGCAAACAACUUGA